UGCGUAGGCGGGCUAAUAAGUCAGUGGUGAAAUCUCUCGGCUCAACCGGGAAACUGCCAUUGAUACUGUUAGUCUUGAGUUCGGUUGAGGUAGGCGGAAUGUGUAAUGUAGCGGUGAAAUGCUUGGAUAUUACACAGAACACCAAUUGCGUAGGCAGCUUACUAGACCGACACUGACGCUGAGGCACGAAAGCGUGGGGAGCGAACAGGAUUAGAUACCCUGGUAGUCC
rnacentral:rRNA from 1 species